CUACGUGCCAGCAGCCGCGGUAAUACGGAAGGUCCGGGCGUUAUCCGGAUUUAUUGGGUUUAAAGGGAGCGUAGGCCGGAGAUUAAGUGUAUUGUGAAAUGUAGACGCUCCACGUCUGACUUGCAGCGCAUACUGGUUUCCUUGAGUACGCACAACGUUGGCGGAAUUCGUCGUGUAGCGGUGAAAUGCUUAGAUAUGACGAAGAACUCCGAUUGCGAAGGCAGCUGACGGGAGCGCAACUGACGCUUAAGCUCGAAGGUGCGGGUAUCGAACAGGAUUAGAUACCCUGGUAGUCCGCACAGUAAACGAUGGAUGCCCGCUGUUGGUACCUGGUAUCAGCGGCUAAGCGAAAGCAUUAAGCAUCCCACCUGGGGAGUACGCCGGCAACGGUGAAACUCAAAGGAAUUGACGGGGGCCCGCACAAGCGGAGGAACAUGUGGUUUAAUUCGAUGAUACGCGAGGAACCUUACCCGGGCU
rnacentral:rRNA from 1 species